AGAACUUUUUUAUAAUAAAAACGUAAGACAAACAUGAUUUUUAAUACUGAAAAAAACCGUUUUAGCCACACUGUAAAAAAUGCAACAACUACCAAUGAUGGGGUUAAAUUUUAUGAUAAAUUGAUAACUCUUCCCUACUACUCCAUCCACCGGUCUAAACUUCACACUGUUAAUAUAUAAUAUUUAUAAACGGUAAAUCCGAUAUGUUAGCCUUAUUGUGCGUCACAAUGUUUAGAAAGUUAUUCGCCAUUCGCAGCUGUGUU